CUACAACGAUCUGGGAAAUCCAGACAAAGGUCCAGAAUAUGCACGCCCUGUUCUUGGUGGAUCACAGGAGUAUCCGUAUCCGCGAAGAGGAAGAACUGGCCGGAAACCAACAAAAACAGGUAGAGAACUGAAUUCAGAGUGUUCAGUUACUUAUUUGAAUGGAACAAAAAAUAUUGAAUACAAACAAUGGCAAGUUUCAAUCAGUAUAUCAGAGCGGUUCAUUUUGUUUCACUUACAAUCAGUAAAUUUCAGCUUUCUCAUUGAAACAGAUCCCAAUUCUGAGAGAAGACUGCCACUUAUAAGCCUAGACAUUUAUGUUCCCAGAGAUGAACGGUUUGGCCACUUGAAGUUUUCAGAUUUUCUUGCCUAUGCCCUGAAAUCGCUGGUUCAGAUAUUGCUCCCAGAAAUCACUUCUUUAUGUGACAAAACUAUAAAUGAAUUUGACUCUUUCGACGAUGUACUUAAUCUCUAUGAAGGAGGUAUCAAACUACCAAAUAGUCAAACUGUCAGUAAGAUAAGGGAUCGCAUCCCGUGGGAGAUGCUCAAGGAACUUGUUCGUAAUGAUGGUGAACGAUUCUUAAAAUUCCCAAUGCCUGAUGUGAUCAAAGGUACAAUCUAUUAUUGUUUUUGUACUAUUUUCCUCAUAGCUUAAACUUGUCAUUUAGUAAACUUUACUACAUAUUCAUGAGGCCUUAAUGAUUCAUUGCAGAGGAUAGGUCUGCUUGGAGGACAGAUGAAGAAUUUGCAAGAGAAAUGCUAGCUGGAGUCAAUCCAGUUAUCAUCAGUCGCCUCCAAGUAAUUUAACUCCCACCAGAUUGACUGACAAUACAUUGCAUGGUUUGUCAUUGCAAUUAUAUAAUGAAAUCUUAAUGCAGGAAUUCCCCCCAGCCAGCAACCUAGACCCUAAAGUAUAUGGAAAUCAGCACAGUUCAAUUACAAGAGCAGACAUAGAAAGGAACAUGAAUGAACUGACCAUAGACGAAGUACUAUUUCAUGCUUAAUAUACUUCAUUUCUAUUUCUGCAAUACCAAAAAAAAAAAAAAAAUCACAUCCAAAAUUCACGAAGAUUUUUCUCUGCAUUAUUACUUUGUAUUAUUUUCUUAUGCCAUGUUUUAUUUUGCACAGGCAAUAGAAAACAAAAAGCUGUUUACAUUAGACCAUCACGAUGCUUUAAUGCCAUACCUGAGGCGGAUAAACUCCACUAACACAAAGACUUAUGCCAGCCGAACACUCCUCUUAUUGCAAAACGAUGGUACAUUAAAGCCGUUAGCGAUUGAGUUGAGCUUGCCUCACCCACAAGGAGACCAUCAUGGUGCUGUCAGCAAAGUAUUCACUCCAGCCGAAAAUGGUGUUGAGGGUUCAGUGUGGCAGCUGGCCAAAGCUUAUGCUGCAGUGAAUGAUUCUGGCUACCACCAGCUCGUUAGCCACUGGUGUGAUAUCAAAAAAGAAAACAUUGGCUGGCAGUUGAAUUUUGAAGCUUAAAUUUAACAGAUUAAUACUCAUGCUUCUGAACAAUGUUUGCAGGUUGGACACCCAUGCUGUGAUAGAACCAUUUGUGAUUGCAACUAAUAGACAGUUGAGUGUGCUCCAUCCAAUUUACAAGCUUUU
rnacentral:lncRNA from 1 species